rnacentral:lncRNA from 1 species
AGGUGAGGACACAGUGAGAAGGUGGCCAUUUGAGAACCAGGAAGCGGACCCCCACCAGGAACCUAAUUGCCUGGCACCUUGAUCUUAGACUCCCCAGCCUCCAGAACUGAAUCCUUGUGGGGUGAGACUCGUUCACCCACUUCAGUGGUUCCAGCUGGGUUACAUGCCGCAAAACCUCAGAGCAGGGAGCUAACCAAGGCUGAUUCUGCAGACUGGGCUUCCUUCUCUUCCUCCGAGCAGCCUCGUUAACACUGUUCUGGAGAUCAGAAGUCCAAGAUCAAGGUGUCAGCAGAAUUGCUCCCUUCCGAGGACUAUGAGAAAGAAUGCGUUCCAUGCCUCACUCCCAGCUUCUGGUGCUUUGCUGAUGAGAAAAAGUGAGCUCCGAGAAGGAAAGUGACUUGCCCAGGGACACACACAAGGAUGUGGACAGCUGGGUGUGUUCUCCUCAUUUGGAACAGGGCAAGGAUUGUACGGGCUGCCUGUCCUGCAGGGCUGGGGGAGGAUGGAUGAGGGAGUGGAUAAUAAACAUCAAAUGCUGUCUGCUCUCGGCGGAGGGCGC